CCCUUAGAUGUUCUGGGCCGCACGCGCGCUACACUGUUCGACGCAGCGAGUCUUAACCUUGACCGAAAGGUUUGGGUAAUCUUCAGCAAAGUCGAACGUGAUGGGGAUCGAUCAUUGCAAUUAUUGAUCGUGAACGAGGAAUUCCUAGUAAGCGCAAGUCAUCAGCUUGCGCUGAUUACGUCCCUGCCCUUUGUACACACCGCCCGUCGCUACUACCGAUUGAAUGGUUUAGUGAGAUCUCUGGAUUGACGCUGGCUAGGGGGCGACCCUUGGCCAGACUGUUGAGAAACUGCUCAAACUUGAUCAUUUAGAGGAAGUAAAAGUCGUAACA
rnacentral:rRNA from 1 species